rnacentral:lncRNA from 1 species
UGUUCCGUGGCUGUGUGUGCCCUACAGCAGCACAGUUCAGUAGGCAGAGGCCACUUCUACUACCCAGCUAAGGAAAAGAUGGGCAGAGCCUGCUCUGGAUGACGCUGUGUUCCAGCCGGCGGAGAGGGUCCCCCAUUUCCUCGAACUAAUCCUCCAGGAAAUUAACAGACAGUUUGCUGUGGACAACUAGAGCCCUCCCCUUCCUUAGCCCUGAGCGAGGUAAACAAUUCUGCUCUGCCUUCCGGAAGUUUCAAAUUAGCUCUUCAACCAGCGUUUUCACGAAGCUUCCAGUCCUGCCACAGUCUUGAAGAAGAGAUCAGCUUUCGAGUCUUCAUUCUUGCCAAGAUUAGCUGCCCUUCGAAUCUCCCGUGUGUCAUUAAUCCCAGCACGAACAAGCACUUGGGAACUGCGGGCUGCAGAUGGUCUGCUUAUCCUAAGGAACCCUCCUCUUUUGAGGCUUAACCCCUUUAGUCUUUGUUGCUUCUGCAGCUUUCUGAUGCCAUUAAAGAGAUGAUUUUUAUAUUUUU